rnacentral:rRNA from 1 species
AUACGUAGGUGGCAAGCGUUGUCCGGAAUUAUUGGGCGUAAAGAGCGCGUAGGCGGGAUAGUAAGUCUGCUGUAAAAGAGCGGGGCUCAACCCCGUAUUGCAGUGGAAACUAGUAUUCUUGAGUGCAGGAGAGGAAAGUGGAAUUCCCAGUGUAGCGGUGAAAUGCGUAGAUAUUGGGAGGAACACCAGUGGCGAAGGCGACUUUCUGGACUGUGUCUGACGCUGAGGCGCGAAAGCCAGGGGAGUGAACGGGAUUAGAUACCCCGGUAAUCCUGGCCGUAAACGAUGGGUACUAGGUGUAGGAGGUAUCGACCCCUUCUGUGCCGGAGUUAACGCAAUAAGUACCCCGCCUGGGGAGUACGGCCGCAAGGUUGAA